ACAUUGGUGGUUCAGUGGUAGAAUUCUUGUCUUCCAUGCAUAAGACCCAGGUUCAAUUCCCAGUCAAUGCC
rnacentral:tRNA from 1 species